rnacentral:ncRNA from 1 species
CAGAGUAGAGUCUGACGCGUUACAGUGUCCCGCGGACGGGGAGUUGCCGCAGGAACGAAGGAUAUGCUUCCGCGAUGUCAGGUUCGCAUCCCGCUGU